GAUGAACGCUGGCGGCGUGCCUAAUACAUGCAAGUCGAGCGAACAGAUGAGGAGCUUGCUCCUCUGACGUUAGCGGCGGACGGGUGAGUAACACGUGGAUAACCUACCUAUAAGACUGGGAUAACUUCGGGAAACCGGAGCUAAUACCGGAUAAUAUAUUGAACCGCAUGGUUCAAUAGUGAAAGACGGUUUUGCUGUCACUUAUAGAUGGAUCCGCGCCGCAUUAGCUAGUUGGUAAGGUAACGGCUUACCAAGGCAACGAUGCGUAGCCGACCUGAGAGGGGGAUUCGGCCCACCGGAACCGAGACACGGGUCAGAAUCCCAAGGGAGGGAGCAGUAGGGAAUUCUUCGCAAUGGGCGAAAGCUUGACCGAGGAAAGCCGCGUGGGUGAAGAAGGGCUUCGGGUUGGAAAACCUUUUUUUUAGGGAAGAAAAAAAGGUGAAGGAAACAAUGCAGGUCUGAAGGUAACUAAACAAAAAGCCCCGGCUAACUUCGGG
rnacentral:rRNA from 1 species